UUACCGAGUUUACAACUCCCAAACCCCUGUGAACAUACCUUAAUGUUGCCUCGGCGGAUCAGCCCGCGCCCCGUAAAACGGGACGGCCCGCCAGAGGACCCAAACUCUAAUGUUUCUUAUUGUAACUUCUGAGUAAAACAAACAAAUAAAUCAAAACUUUCAACAACGGAUCUCUUGGUUCUGGCAUCGAUGAAGAACGCAGCAAAAUGCGAUAAGUAAUGUGAAUUGCAGAAUUCAGUGAAUCAUCGAAUCUUUGAACGCACAUUGCGCCCGCUGGUAUUCCGGCGGGCAUGCCUGUUCGAGCGUCAUUUCAACCCUCAAGCCCCCGGGUUUGGUGUUGGGGAUCGGCUCUGCCUUCUGGCGGCGCCGCCCCCGAAAUACAUUGGCGGUCUCGCUGCAGCCUCCAUUGCGUAGUAGCUAACACCUCGCAACUGGAACGCGGCGCGGCCAUGCCGUAAAACCCCAACUUCUGAAUGUUGACCUCGGAUCAGGUAGGAAUACCCGCUGAACUUAAGCAU
rnacentral:rRNA from 1 species